rnacentral:rRNA from 1 species
GAUGAACGCUGGCGGCGUGCCUAAUACAUGCAAGUCGAGCGAACAGAUGAGAAGCUUGCUUCUCUGAUGUUAGCGGCGGACGGGUGAGUAACACGUGGGUAACCUACCUAUAAGACUGGGAUAACUCCGGGAAACCGGGGCUAACACCGGAUAAUAUUUUGAACCGCAUGGUUCAAUAGUGAAAGACGGUUUCGGCUGUCACUUAUAGAUGGACCCGCGCCGUAUUAGCUAGUUGGUAAGGUAAUGGCUUACCAAGGCGACGAUACGUAGCCGACCUGAGAGGGUGAUCGGACACACUGGAACUGAGACACGGUCCAGACUCCUACGGGAGGCAGCAGUAGGGAAUCUUCCGCAAUGGGCGAAAGCCUGACGGAGCAACGCCGCGUGAGUGAUGAAGGUCUUCGGAUCGUAAAACUCUGUUGUUAGGGAAGAACAAAUUUGUUAGUAACUGAACAAGUCUUGACGGUACCUAACCAGAAAGCCACGGCUAACUACGUGCCAGCAGCCGCAGUAA